rnacentral:rRNA from 1 species
UACGGGGGGGGCAAGCGGUUGUUCGGAAUUACUGGGCGUAAAGGGCUCGUAGGUGGCCAACUAAGUCAGACGUGAAAUCCCUCGGCUUAACCGGGGAACUGCGGUCUGAUACUGGAUGGCUUGAGUUUGGGAGAAGGACGCGGAAUUCCAGGUGGUAGCGGUGAAAUGCGUAGAAUAUCUGGAGGAACACCGGUGGCGGAAGGCGGCGUC